UAAAGUGCAUGCAGUUGCAGUCCAGUCCACCACAGCCAGACAGUCGCGCGUCAAUCCCCUAGAAACAGCCCGGAAUUAAAGCACACCCUCCCUCUCAUCGGCUGGGAAAAAUCUACAAAAAUUAAAGCUCCCCGCCAUAAUCUAACCCUUUACCCCGACUUGACGUCGCUUCACUCUCCCCUGUAUCCAAGCUUUCAAAUGGUUCGUGCUAAACACGAGAAGAAAAAGAGCGUGACUGGAACACCCUCCAUUCCCGCAUGAUACUUGAUACUUCCCGCGCACGGCUCUGUAGAUGCACCCACACGCUUCUCUCAGGUCGUUUGUAACCACGAGGGCUCUCCUCACCGUACACCUGUAAGAUAAGGAUAAAUGGAAAAAAGUCGAGGGAAAGAUAGUAGCGUGGAGAGAGAAAGACCGAUCUGAAAAUCGAACAACCGAAGGUAAGGUCUUUCUUUGUUUCUUUGUAUCUAUAAUUUAGUUUGGCUUUAUAUAGAUGGUUUUAGUUUUAAUUUUGUAGAUCGAGGAGGUGUUUUAAUCACUAGAUUUGUUGUGUUUGUCGUUGGAUUUGGUGGUUGAAACUUGGGGGAAGUCUCAAGUUUGGGAGUUGAAAUUAGGGUUUUGAAGGUGGAGGGAGUUAAAUCCUAGAUUGGAUUGAUUGCUGAGGCUGAAUUGUUUGGUUAGGGUUUUAAUACCCUAAUAUAUAUAUAUAUAUAUAUUUAUAUAUGCAUGGCUUCUGGGGCAGUAGUUGGAGAAGGUAAAGAUGGUGAGAGGGAGAAGCAUAGGUACACUGAGAGCAAGGUUUAUACUAGGAAAGCUUUUAAGGGUCCCAAUAAAAACAAUCUUGUCAACAUCACCUCGAACAACAACAACAACGUCAACAGCAUUGCUGCGAACAGCUCCUCUGUCACCGCUGUCCCUUCCGCUACCAACAACGAGAACAACACCAACAAACACUCUGCUGAAGCACCAGCUCAGCCUCUUCCUUUGGAGUAUGGGGGUUCAGCUCACCAAGAGCCUGCUCCACGCGAAGAUACUGCAGUGUCUGUUGACUCUUCAAGUCUUAACAAGCAGCAGGUUGCCAGUUCAGAGAACCUAGUGAAGAUCAAUUUGGCUUCAAGGUCAAAGCAGGAGAUGCGGGAAUUGAGGACGAAGCUGGAGAGUGAGCUUGAUUUGGUGAGGAAUUUGGUGAAGAUGAUUGAAGCUAAAGAAGGGCAAGAAAUUGGGUUCAGUAAUUCCCUUGUUCUGUUGAAUGAUACUGUUGAUUAUGGUUUCAAGAGGGUUCAACCAGAGCUGGCUUCUGUGGUUAUUGCUCGGGAGCCUGUUAAGCAAUCAAGGCCUCUGAACCAGUUGAAUAUUUCUGUCUUGGAAAACAGUCAGGGUGCGAAUGAAAAUUUGGAGAAGGAGAAGAGAACACCUAAGGCAAAUCAGUUCUAUCGAAAUUCUGAGUUUUUGCUUGCAAAAGAUAAGAUUCCGCCAGCUGAGAGUAACAAGAAGUCGAAAUUGAAUGGGAAGAAGCGAGGGGGAGGUGAAUUCACUCAUGGUAUGGGUAACAAGUUCUUUAAGAGCUGCGGUUCUUUGCUCGAAAGACUAAUGAAACAUAAGCAUGGUUGGGUCUUUAAUGCUCCUGUUGAUGUCAAGGGUUUGGGUUUGCAUGACUACUAUAGUAUCAUUAAGCAUCCCAUGGAUUUGGGUACUGUGAAAUCGAGGCUUAACAAGAACUGGUACAAGUCACCUAGAGAGUUUGCAGAGGAUGUGAGACUGACAUUUCGAAAUGCUAUGAUAUAUAAUCCUAAGGGACAAGAUGUUUAUGUAAUGGCCGAGCAGUUAUCAAAGAUAUUUGAGGACAAAUGGGUUGCUAUGGAGGCGGAUUACUUUCAAGAUAUGAGACUUGCAAUAGAAUAUGAAGUGAGUCUUCCUACGGCAACAACAAUAAAGGCACAUGCAAUGCUACCACCUCCACUUGAUAUGAGAAGGAUCUUGGAUAGAUCAGUGUCGAUGAUAUCCCCUGUUGAUGUGAGACCAAAACUGAGUAGGACCCCUACUCCAAAAAAGCCCAAGGUAAAGGAUCCGUACAAGAGGGAUAUGACUUACGAGGAGAAGCAGAAGCUUAGCACUAACCUUCAGGGUUUGCCUUCAGAGAAACUUGACAAUAUUGUACAGAUUAUUAAGAAAAGGAAUUCAGCUCUCUUUCAACAUGAUGAUGAAAUUGAAGUGGACAUUGACAAUGUGGAUACUGAGACUCUUUGGGAGCUAGAUAGAUUUGUUACCAACUACAAGAAGAGUUUGAGCAAAAACAAGAGAAAAGUUGAACUUGCCAUGCAAGCCGGAGCAGAGGCUGAGCAGAUUGUGCCAGAGAAGUUAAAAACCUCAGCUCCUGUUUUGGUCGAAGUGCCAAAGGAAGCCACAACUAAUGAACAGAAUGUGUCCAUGUCACCUGUUGAAGUUGGAAAACAGGGAGAUAAUGCUUGUAGGUCGAGUAGUUCAAGUAGCUCUAGUAGUGAUUCUGGGUCUUUUUCAAGUGACUCUGAUAGUGAAAGCUCCUCAGCCUCUGGGUCUGACGCUGGACAUUCACCAAAGUCUUGAAUGUUUUCAUUCAGUCAUGAUAUGUCAAGAGAGAUAAGUUUGCAAUACCAAGUACUUGAUGAUAAAAUUUCAAUUGAGCAUCAGAAAGAAGUUAGCUGCUGAGCAACACUUGUUUUUUUUUUCUUUGGAGUGAGGCGUUUUUCUACAAGAAGAGUUAUAUUAAUCCUCUCUGCUAUUCAGUUGGGUGAUCUAAGAGUUUAGAGUAGGUGCUGAUCCAUUAUGAUCCUGAAGCCUCGGAGAUUCAUUUUUAUGAUGUGCAUAAGUUUUUGGUGCCUCGAACUCCAAGGGCUCCAGCCAUUUUAGCCGCAGGAGAGUGGGUCUUUUUCUGUUUCUGCUGUUCUUGGAAGUCGGAAAAAUGCUGCAGCACUCUACAUGUGGACUAUUUGUAUAAUAUGAUUAGAAUUUGGUGGUCCAUGCUCUGAGGAAAAGUUGGGUUUUUGCGUUACUAACUACUGCUACUCAUUCUAGUUUCAGGGGACUUUUUUUCUUUUGGUUUAUGAUGGCAGAUUCAGGAUUCUUUGAUGUUGUAUAGAGGAAAUAGCAUUGUAAUUCAAGUUGAUGAAGUCCAUAAUUCCUUCAAAUGAAAUAAUCUGUGAAAAGCAUUUUAUUUUUGUGUUUGGUUAUCUUAUAAUUCAAGUUGAUGAAGUACAAAAUUCCUUAAAAUGAAAUAAUCUUAUGUGUUUGCACUGGGCAUCUUUUAUCGUAAUUUUAUUUAUCGUAUCAUACUAGUGGUUAGUCUGGAACUUGAAGAUAUGCUUUGGCGUUCGACAAUAAUGAAAAAAAUGAUUAGAUACUGCAAGCCACUUUAUUCUCGUUUCUAGCCACUUCGUCACGGUUGCCUCUGACCAACCCUGUUUCUCUUUUGGUGGGCUUUUGGGCUACCUGAGUUGACUCUAUUGUUUUUUCGGUUCAUAGGAGUUGAUUUUGUUGUUUUUUCUGACACUUUCUUGGAUGUACAGUCUUCGGAUCCUCUUCCUUUAUUUAUUGAUUCAGGUUUACAAGUGCACAAAUUGAACAAAUA